UGGGAAAUAUUGCACAAUGGGCGCAAGCCUGAUGCAGCCAUGCCGCGUGUGUGAAGAAGGCCUUCGGGUUGUAAAGCACUUUCAGCGAGGAGGAAGGGUAGUGUGUUAAUAGCACAUUGCAUUGACGUUACUCGCAGAAGAAGCACCGGCUAACUCCGUGCCAGCAGCCGCGGUAAUACGGAGGGUGCAAGCGUUAAUCGGAAUUACUGGGCGUAAAGCGCACGCAGGCGGUCUGUUAAGUCAGAUGUGAAAUCCCCGCGCUUAACGUGGGAACUGCAUUUGAAACUGGCAAGCUAGAGUCUUGUAGAGGGGGGUAGAAUUCCAGGUGUAGCGGUGAAAUGCGUAGAGAUCUGGAGGAAUACCGGUGGCGAAGGCGGCCCCCUGGACAAAGACUGACGCUCAGGUGCGAAAGCGUGGGGAGCAAACA
rnacentral:rRNA from 1 species